rnacentral:rRNA from 1 species
UACGUAGGGUGCGAGCGUUGUCCGGAAUUACUGGGCGUAAAGAGCGCGUAGGUGGUUUGUCGCGUUGUUCGUGAAAACUCACAACUCAAUUGUGGGCGUGCGGGCGAUACGGGCAGACUGGAGUACUGCAGGGGAGACUGGAAUUCCUGGUGUAGCGGUGGAAUGCGCAGAUAUCAGGAGGAACACCGGUGGCGAAGGCGGUUCUCUGGGCCUUACCUGACGCUGAGGAGCGAAAGCAUGGGGAGCAAACAGG